rnacentral:rRNA from 1 species
UACGAAGGGGGCUAGCGUUGUUCGGAAUUACUGGGCGUAAAGCGCGCGCAGGCGGCUAUCCAAGUCAGUGGUGAAAGCCCGGAGCUCAACUCCGGAACUGCCAUUGAAACUGUUUAGCUUGAGGAUGAGAGAGGUGAGUGGAAUUCCCAGUGUAGAGGUGAAAUUCGUAGAUAUUGGGAAGAACACCAGUGGCGAAGGCGGCUCUCUGGACCGUAACUGACGCUGAGGCGCGAAAGCGUGGGGAGCAAACAGG